rnacentral:tRNA from 1 species
GGUAGUAUACUUUAUAUAGAAGAUUUAUUUUGCACAUAAAAAGAAAAUUUGAGUUUUGCUCCCAC